ACCACAUGCCAUCAUAGGUAAGUCAGUCCAUUUCUUUUCAUUAUCAGUAUUUCUAUUUCACCGAUCCAGGAAAUAACGGUUUAUUCAAACUUACGCUACAAUGCUAUAGGCUAUAGCAUCGACAUAGUCACUAUUUGACAGCACUUUGUACUAAAUAAUAUCACAGAACAAGAGCGAUUGUUCAAAUUCUACUACGCUUUAGCACCAUUAUAACUGCUAUUUAACAAAGCUGCAUUAUCGAUCACUUGAUGUUGUCUAAAGCUAGGUUCAGGCCCUGCAUAUUUAGUGUAUAGUAAAUUGACUUUAACUAGAUAUUUUUCACAUUGCUUAUAUUUAGGGAUAGAAAAUAUU
rnacentral:lncRNA from 1 species